UGAUCCCCGCUGGGAGAGAGCGGGCCGGAUACCGGUCCGCCGCCGAAGGAGCAACCGCCCCUGGAAACUCUCAGGCCAAAGGACCAGCGGGGGGAU
rfam:Magnetospirillum gryphiswaldense MSR-1 v2, complete genome